rnacentral:tRNA from 1 species
GAGGCUUUAGCUUAAUUAAAGUGUCUGUUUUGCAUGCAGGAGAUGUGAGGUAGUGUCUCGCAAGCCUUA